CCUACGGGAGGCAGCAGUGGGGGAUAUUGCACAAUGGGGGAAACCCUGAUGCAGCGACGCCGCGUGGGUGAAGAAGCGCCUCGGCGCGUAAAGCCCUGUCAGCAGGGAAGAAAAUGACGGUACCUGAAGAAGAAGCCCCGGCUAACUACGUGCCAGCAGCCGCGGUAAUACGUAGGGGGCAAGCGUUAUCCGGAUUUACUGGUUGUAAAGGGGGCGCAGACGGCGAUGCAAGCCAGGGGUGAAAGCCCGGGGCGCAACCCAGGGACUGCUGUUGGAACUGCGUGGCUAGAGUGCAGGAGGGGCAGGGGGAAGUCCUGGUGUAGGGGGGAAAUGCGUAGAUAGCAGGAGGAACAACGGUGGCGAAGGCGACCUGCUGGACUGCAACUGACGUUGAGGAGCGAAAGCGUGGGGAGUAAACAGGAUUAGAUACCCGGGUAGUC
rnacentral:rRNA from 1 species